rnacentral:rRNA from 1 species
UACGUAGGGUGCAAGCGUUAUUCGGAAUUACUGGGCGUAAAGCGUGCGCAGGCGGUUAUGUAAGCCAGAUGUGAAAUCCCCGGGCUCAACCUGGGAACUGCAUUUGUGACUGCAUAGCUAGAGUACGGUAGAGGGGGAUGGAAUUCCGCGUGUAGCAGUGAAAUGCGUAGAUAUGCGGAGGAACACCGAUGGCGAAGGCAAUCCCCUGGACCUGUACUGACGCUCAUGCACGAAAGCGUGGGGAGCAAACAGG